CUUGAAUUGUGUUUGUAAUGAAUCAAAAAUAUGUUUUUAAAAAACUAACACUUCAUUUAUAUGAAAAUAGUGUCAUCUAAAGGAUGCCUACACUGGGUCUGCUUUGUUUGUACCCUUCAAGUUGUACCCAUGUCAGCUAUUUUAAACCAGACCCAAUGUUAUCAAGGUGCCCCCAUCCUUAGCAAUAAGUACUCUUUUUGUUUUUAUAAAAUUACGCAUUGCAAAGAAAGUUAGCAGCUUUCUUCUCCUUCUGUAUGACACUUUUCAAAAUUCUCCAACCUCCACCCAUGGCUCAGUACCAAAGCCUUUCCCACAUAUUUAGGUACUUGUGACAGAAGUACCUCCCUUCUAGUAUCAACAUCUGAUUUUUAUUGUUGUAUCCCAAAUUGCCACAAAAUUUGUAGCUGAAAACAAACUACAAACUAACAAACUACUAAGUCCUAGUUUCUAUGGAUCAGGGAUCUGGGUAUGGGUUCUCAGGUUUCUCUAAGACUGAUCAAGUGUCAGCUAGGGCUGUGUCUCAUCCGAGGCCUCAACUGGGGGAAGGACACACUCCUGAGCUCCUCACGUCAUUGGCAGAAUUCACUUGUGGUUGUAGGAUUUGGGAAGCUUCCUGCUUGAAAGCUAGCAAUAAGAUAAAACACUCUUAGCUUGUGUCUGCUAGCAAGACAUCAUCUAGUAUAACAUAACCAAAGGAGUGGCUUCCCAUCUCCUUUGCCAUAGUCUAUUGAUAAAACAAAAGUCAUGACUUCUUCCCACAGUAUCAACAAAUAUAGUGUGUAAGAUUGGAUGACACUUACUGAAUACUUAAGUAAUCUCAGAGUAUUUUGUUUAGCCAUAACUACCAAUGGUAUGGAAAGGACCUCAGAUAUUACACUUUGAAAGAAAUUGAAGAAUUCUACUUAAGAUAACUGUUUGCCUCAUUGAAAAGAAAAACAUGCUUCUCGAUUUGUUCUAAGAUUCAGAUCCAGGAAAUAAGAACGUAUGGUUCUCUAAAGGCCAUCUUGGUCCAGCCCACUGAUAACCUGUACUUUCAUGCUAACACCACAAGGAUCUAUAGAAGCAUUAGUUACAGUGGUAUCCAGCCUUUAAUAAAAACUACAUGUUAUUUUCUCUGGA
rnacentral:lncRNA from 1 species